AAAGGGGCAGAGGAGAAGGCGUGGAGGUGCAAGGGCAGUGUUGAUAUUCAGCACCUGUGGGACGUAGGCGCCUCCUAAAGACAGCGUCAGCGAUAGCACAGGUCACCUUCGCCCGUUUGGGCAUCUAAAUUUGGCAGUGUGAACAGACCUGCGUCCUCUCAGCAAUUGAUCUGAGCAGCAGAACCCCAUCCUGACGGUCCAGAGUCACAUUUCCAGGCAGUGGGGGUGAAAGCCGUGCUAAUUGGCCACUUGCCUCACCACUGGCUUUUAAACAAUCGGUUGUAUUCUCCGCCCGGCAGGAAGCAGCAGGCCCAUCAAGGCUCUGGGCUCCCUCUUUGUUCUGACUUUAUGGCAUUUUAUGCCACAAUGAGAAACACUGUUUACUCCGUGGGAGGCCAUUGUGCCAGGCUGCGAGGAUGUGGGCUCUGGGGCAGAGGGGCUCCCCCCCACCCCCCAGGGGGAGGAGGGCCUUUGUGACAGGCUGGGGAACAAAACAAGGGGUGCUGGACACUGUUACUGGGGCAACUGCCUGGCCAGUGUAGCCCCUGGGUUCCUCUCCCCAGAAGGCCGGGGGGAAGGGCAGAAGGUUGGAAUUUCUUCUAGAGGAGCAGUGCUAGUUACCUGGUAAAUUAUACAUCCGCCGGUGCUAGCAACAGCCUGCUGGCUGUUCCCCAGGCUGCUAGGACGACCUCAUCCCGCCUCUAGAUUCUGUGCCCGGAGAUGGUGGCUAUCUAAUGAUGGCCACCAGGGGGCGCCAACUUGCCAUUUUUUCAGGCACUCCUGAUGAACAAACUGCAGGCUUCCCACACAGCCGCAUGGCUCCAGGAGAGGGUUGGUGAGGGAACCCCCGGCUAUCUGACAGAUGCGACACAAGUCUCCCUCCUCCUCGGAAUCCUCCUCCAGGAGACUAAAAGGAAAACAAGAAUCUUCGUGGGCCUGGGGACUGUCCGGUCAAGGAAAGGAAAGUUGGCUGGAGACUAAAAUCAACAGAGGGGAAGAAAUAGCCAUUGCUUUGGAUAUAGGAGAGUAUGCUGUUUCUUAAGAGAAUUUUCUCCCCAAGAAAGGGAAGUUCAAUGAAAAGGAACAGAAUUACACUUUCUCAUGAUAGUCACCAACAAGAGAAGAAGUAUGCCAUGUUUAUCAAAAAAAGACUCCCGCAGAUAAUCUAUAGAUUCAAUGCAAUUCCAAUGAAAAUCCCAACAAACUGAUGCUAAGUGUUUGUAUAGUGAAAGAUUCUUAUGGAACAAAAUGGAGAGGGAGGCUUUGCUCUGAUAAAUUUAUAAAGCUGCAGUCAUUGAGAUGAUGUUCUUUAGCGAAGAACAAAAAGGCCAAUAGGACAGAAGAGAGAGCACUGAGACAAACUUACACACUUAUGUUAUAUGACAGAUGGGGCUCUGCAGGGGGAAGAUCCUGGGUAUUCACAAUGCAUACCUCACACCACACAUUAAAUGUCACACUUAAGUCCAAAAUUAAUUUCACAUUAAGUCCUAAGUGUGCAAAGCAAAACUGUAGAGAUUUUGGAAGAGAGUAGGAAGAAUGUUGCAAUGACCCCAGGUUACGAAGGAUUUCUUAAUUAAGACAGCAAGAUACAAAUCAUAGUCCAUACAGAAGAUGGAUACAACUGACUACGUUAAAAUUAAGAAUUUAUUUUCAUUAAGAAAACAUCAAGAAAGAGGAGAUACAAACUGUCAAUACAAAUUGAGAAAAGAUAUGUCCAAAAUAUAAUUGUCAAAGGAUCAGAUUAGUUGCCAGAAUAUAUAAAGGGUUCUUUACAUAUAUAUAUACAUAUAUAUAUGAUAUGUAUGUAUAUAU